rnacentral:rRNA from 1 species
UACGGGGGGAGCAAGCGUUGUUCGGAUUUACUGGGCGUAAAGGGCGCGUAGGCGGCCCAGCACAAGUCAGUUGUGAAAUCUCCGAGCUUAACUCGGAAAGGUCAACUGAUACUGUGCGGCUAGAGUGCGGAAGGGGCAACGUGGAAUUCUUGGUGUGAGCGGUGAAAUGCGUAGAUAUCAAGAGGAACACCUGCGGCGAAGGCGGGUGCUGGCCGACACGUGACGCUGAGGCGCGAAAGCCAGGGGAGCGAACGGG